rnacentral:rRNA from 1 species
AGCUCCAAUAGCGUAUAUUAAAGUUGUUGCAGUUAAAAAGCUCGUAGUUGCAUUUCCGAGGCAAGGGAUUAGUCCGACCUUUGGUGGGUAUUUAAUCCUCUUGCCUCGUCCUUGAGUGGUGCUUCUUGGUAUUAAGUUAUCGAGGAGAUAGCCGCUCAUCGUUUACUGUGAGAAAAUUAGAGUGUUCAAAGCAGGCUUAUGCCGUUGAAUAUAUUAGCAUGGAAUAAUAAGAUAGGACCUCGGUACUAUUUUGUUGGUUUGAGAACCAAGGUAAUGAUGAAUAGGGACAGUUGGGGGUAUUCGAAUUCAGUUGUCAGAGGUGAAAUUCUUAGAUUUACGGAAGACGAACUACUGCGAAAGCAUUUACCAAGGAUGUUUUCA